UACGAAGGGGGCUAGCGUUGCUCGGAAUCACUGGGCGUAAAGGGUGCGUAGGCGGGUCUUUUAAGUCAGGGGUGAAAUCCUGGAGCUCAACUCCAGAACUGCCUUUGAUACUGGCGAUCUUGAGUCCGGGAGAGGUGAGUGGAACUGCGAGUGUAGAGGUGAAAUUCGUAGAUAUUCGCAAGAACACCAGUGGCGAAGGCGGCUCACUGGCCCGGUACUGACGCUGAGGUGCGAAAGCGUGGGGAG
rnacentral:rRNA from 1 species